ACCUGAUGGAUGAAAGGUCAUUUCGCAAGAUAAAAGAUGUCAGGGACGAAGCCAGUGAGUUAGGAAUUCCCCAAGUCGCGAUCCUCACCAAAAUUGAUGAAGCCUGUAAUGUUGUCCAAUACAGUUUGAAGUAUGUCUACAGGAGCAAGUGGCUGAAAAAGCAGAUGGAAAAAGUGAGUGUGAUGACAGGAAUUCCAAUGCACUGCAUCUUCCCAGUGAGGAACUACAGCUCAGAAAUCGAAACAGAUGAUGACAUGGAUUCACUGAUACUGAGCGCAAUGAGGAAGAUCAUUGACUACGGAGAAGACUUCCUGAAUGAUCAGUCUGCUGCAGGCGAUGAUGGCACUCAGGAAAUUGCCCUGAAUCAAAACAUGGAACAUGCUUGACAGCAGCGAUCAUAAAAACUGACAUUUAACCCCUGGGUUUUUACUUCUUCAGAGGUCAGACCAAAGCUGUAAGCUUCAUGCAUUUUCCUCUUCAGAGGUUUGAUAUCUUUUUUUUUUUUCUAUUUUCCUCUACCGUUUUUUGUUUGUUUAUGAAUUAAGAUUCUGCUUUGAAUAAAGUCUCCUUUGUUCUGCUGAUAAGCACAUUCUGAUCUACCUCCAGUGGCGGCGUUAGGCCUAUUUCAGGGGGCUGAAGCCGGGGCGCGUUGAUCCAGGAUUGCUUUCACCUGGCUUGAUGAGUCCAGGUGUUCUCAUAUGCUGGAUUGGUCUUUUGUGCAACCCAGUAAGCUUGAACCCUCUGGUUUUGGAUUGGAUGAGCCUGAAUCCUUCUUUUGUGCUAUAGGCCCCUGGUACUGUUAUGUCUCCCUCUGUGUCCCCUUCUGUGUCUCAGUAAGUUUCUCUUACCUGUUUGUGACUUCCUGUUUUAUUUUGACUCACCCGUAGUACACAAAUAAGGACUAUUCAUAUUGGAGGUGUCCUUUAAAAUGAUUCUGUUUUGAUAUUGAAAUGUGUGAACUUUCAGUGUUUUUUGUUUUUGUCUUUCAAAAGGAUUUCUUGUUUCUUUUGUCUUCUCUCAAAGAUUUAUCACCACCACCUGCUGGUCAAAACAGUUUUGACAACAGCUAACGUAACAGUAAAAUUCAAAGCAUCAAAACAGAAGUGCUCAGUGAUCAGAAAAACAGACUUUGUUUC